rnacentral:SRP_RNA from 1 species
GCAGGGGUCUUGCGCGACGGGAACCGAUGAACCGUGUCAGGUCAGGAAUGGAGCAGCACUAAGUCGGACCUUCCGGGUGCCGCAAGGGUGCCUCUGCUCC